rnacentral:rRNA from 1 species
AAGACUUGGCGGUGCCCUAUACCUCCUAGAGGAGCCUGUUCUAUAAUCGAUAACCCCCGAUCCACCUCACCAUCUCUUGCCAAUACCGCCUGUAUACCUCCGUCCCAAAUUUACCCCUCAAGGGCAAUAGUCGAUUUAAUGGUUUACCACCAGAAAGACAGGUCAAGGUGCAGCGAAUGAGAUGGGAAGCAAUGGGCUACAUUUUCUACCUAUAGACUAUACGAAUAAAUCAUGAUGAAACCUGAUUAGAAGGCGGAUUUAGCAGUAAAAGGAGAAUAGAGCGCUCCUUUUAAGUAGGCUCUAGGGCGCGCACAAACCGCCCGUCACUCUCUUCGACCCGCACUAUUACUAUACCUAAUACCUCAUUUAGGGACAAGAAGAGGAAAGUCGUAACAUGGUAAGUCCACCGGAAGGUGGACUUGG